UACACCUGUACUUCUACCAGCAGUGGAGAACAGUGUGAUGAGCUACAUAAGGCUGAGGGUACACCUGUACGUCUACCAGCAGUGGAGAACAGUGUGCAAAUACAAUUUCCAAUUCUAACGCAGUUUAGUUCAACGAAACACCACGACGUCGUUUCACAAAUUGUAAACACAAAAUAUUCAUUUUAUUUGAUGAACUUAAAGACUACACAGAGCCGUUUAAACGGAAAUCUACAUGCUGCCUUUUAUUUACAGCUUAUUUCACUUUCGUUUUCAUAUUUACAGGAAGUCCAAGAAAAGCGCUACAAACACAGUGUUGCGAACAAUCAAAAACAAACAAGCCAAAAGGAGACUUCGGAUCAACAGCGCCUCGUCAUCGACAGUUGUCAGUGCAGUAUUCCACAAUACAAUUACAUUUUCCUUCAUUCGAAAGUAUGCUCUUUUUAAAGGACAGUAAAGUCCUCAUUUUGGACAAAUGUCACAGUAUUAAAAAAUAAAAAAAUAAAAUAAAAUAAGGAAAAUUAAAUGUACUUUGUACAGUAUGUCUGUUGACCAAUAUUGUCCACAUUGAGACACAUUGACUAGUUAAUCACCUGAUUAUCCUCCUCUCUGAAUCUAGGUGAUUGAUGGCAGGAAGUUGACAGAAUUAGUUAGUGCUGCAACUUGAUGGCAGGAAGUUGACAGAAUUAGUUAGUACUGCAACUUGAUGGCAGGAAGUUGACAGAAUUAGUUAGUGCUGCAACUUGAUGGCAGGAAGUUGACAGAAUUAGUUAGUACUGCAACUUGAUGGCAGGAAGUUGACAGAAUUAGUUAGUGCUGCAACUUGAUGGCAGGAAGUUGACAGAAUUAGUUAGUACUGCAACUUGAUGGCAGGAAGUUGACAGAAUUAGUUAGUACUGCAACUUGAUGGCAGGAAGUUGACAGAAUUAGUUAGUGCUGCAACUUGAUGGCAGGAAGUUGACAGAAUUAGUUAGUGCUGCAACUUGAUGGCAGGAAGUUGACAGAAUUAGUUAGUACUGCAACUUGAUGGCAGGAAGUUGACAGAAUUAGUUAGUACUGCAACUUGAUGGCAGGAAGUUGACAGAAUUAGUUAGUGCUGCAACUUGAUGGCAGGAAGUUGACAGAAUUAGUUAGUGCCGCAACUUGAUGGCAGGAAGUUGACAGAAUUAGUUAGUACUGCAACUUGAUGGCAGGAAGUUGACAGAAUUAGUUAGUGCUGCAACUUGAUGGCAGGAAGUUGACAGAAUUAGUUAGUACUGCAACUUGAUGGCAGGAAGUUGACAGAAUUAGUUAGUACUGCAACUUGAUGGCAGGAAGUUGACAGAAUUAGUUAGUGCUGCAACUUGACGUGUGAUCAAAGUGUACCUACCGAGCGAGAGUCAAAACAGACGACACAUCAAUAAUUAAUAACAUCAUUGCUAUCUAGAAAGGACAGCUUUCUAACAGGUUGAAGUGGAUCGCCCUGAAGUGUGUUUUCAGGUGCACUUGGACACAGAGAGUUCAGCUAGCUAUCUGAGACAGCUAAUUAUGUCCACAAGGGUGGUUUCCAAGGCACACCUGGGUUCAGAUCCUACUUGAAAUCUUUCAAUUUACUUUGAGCGUUUGCUUUAGCCUGUCUAGAGUGCCAGGUAGCUCGGGGUUAGCAUUUUGAAGAUUUUCCUAUUCGUUAUUUUGCAACACGCAAGCUCAAUCAAGCACUUGACACAGUAUUUUAAAAAUAUUUGAACCCAGGUGUGUUUCUAAGGUUGUCUGUGUAUAUGAGAGCUUUAAGACUGUUAAGAGCUGCAGGCUGGAACUAACACACCUGGAGGUUCAAUGCCUCCAUCUCAAGACCCAGAACACCUCUGGUCUCAGUACUGAAAGCACUUUAACCCUGGGGCUGUCCUCGGGGUAAAAAAGCUAUGGGUUGUCUGAAACGGCACCCUAUUCCCUAUUUAUAGUGCACUACUUGUGACCAAAGCUCUAUGGGUUCUGAUUAAAAGGAGUGCACACUAACAGGGAUUAGGGUGCCGUUUGGGACAAACAUUUCGUUUUUUUUCUACCCAACCACAAUGUACCACAGGACUCAUCUGGUCCAGGCCAGCAGCCGGUCCAGCCCAGCAGCCGGUCCAGCCCAGCAGCCGGUCCAGGCCAGCAGCCGGUCCAGCCCAGCAGUCGGUCCAGCCCAGCAGCCGGUCCAGGCCAGCAGCCGGUCCAGCCCAGCAGCCGGUCCAGGCCAGCAGCCGGUCCAGCCCAGCAGCCGGUCCAGGCCAGCAGCCGGUCCAGCCCCGCAGCCGGUCCAGGCCAGCAGCCGGUCCAGCCCAGCAGCCGGUCCAGGCCAGCAGCCGGUCCAGCCCAGCAGCCGGUCCAGCCCAGCAGUCGGUCCAGCCCAGCAGUCGAUGUGUUAAAAAGGAGAACAUGUUUUAGUAAUGUCCUGUUUUUUAAGCAUCCAUAUCUCUUCUCACUAGGAACACUUUUCCUUCUCUGCCCUCAGAGCAUUCUUUCAAGGUAGAAAUACACUGAGAAAUACUGCUGAAACAAAAAACACACAUUACUAAAAGAAAACAAUAUUAUUAUGGAUGACAGACUGUUGUAUUCCUCUACAGUAAAUCAAAUAAAAUAAAAAAUACAAGUAAUUCAUGUCAAAUAAAAAUCAUUUUUUCAAACAUAGUCUGCCUUUAUUCCCUUAAGUUUUGUUCAAGAACAACGAGUAGUGAUUAAAGGACGAUAGUUCACAUUGCUGAAUUCAAAUGAUUUUGUUAUACUGUUAUUUUAUAUAGCUAUUUAUUAAAAACAAAAACCAAAGGUAAAAUAAAAUACCGUUCUGUGGUUUAUUAAUACAGACGUUUGAAUGAUUCUUCCACAGUAUGUUCAUCAUCCAGAUGGGAUGUUAGACCUGUUCUGUUAGGACAUCAGGACAGAAAGAGGACAGAUGUUCUGUUAGGACAUCAGGACAGAAAGAGGACAGAUGGGAUGUUAGGACAUCAGGACAGAAAGAGGACAGAUGUUCUGUUAGGACAUCAGGACAGAAAGAGGACAGACGAGAUGUUAGGACAUCAGAACAGAAAGAGGACAGAUGUUCUGUUAGGACAUCAGGACAGAAAGAGGACAGAUGAGAUGUUAGGACAUCAGAACAGAAAGAGGACAGAUGUUCUGUUAGGACAUCAGGACAGAAAGAGGACAGAUUAGAUGUUAGGACAUCAGAACAGAAAGAGGACAGAUGUUCUGUUAGGACAUCAGGACAGAAAGAGGACAGAUGUUCUGUUAGGACAUCAGGACAGAAAGAGGACAGAUUAGAUGUUAGGACAUCAGGACAGAAAGAGGACAGAUGUUCUGUUAGGACAUCAGAACAGAAAGAGGACAGAUGUUCUGUUAGGACAUCAGGACAGAAAGAGGACAGAUGUUCUGUUAGGACAUCAGGACAGAAAGAGGACAGAUGUUCUGUUAGGACAUCAGGACAGAAAGAGGACAGAUGAGAUGUUAGGACAUCAGAACAGAAAGAGGACAGAUGUUCUGUUAGGACAUCAGGACAGAAAGAGGACAGAUGAGAUGUUAGGACAUCAGAACAGAAAGAGGACAGAUGUUCUGUUAGGACAUCAGGACAGAAAGAGGACAGAUUAGAUGUUAGGACAUCAGAACAGAAAGAGGACAGAUGUUCUGUUAGGACAUCAGGACAGAAAGAGGACAGAUGAGAUGUUAGACCUGUUCUGUUAGGACAUCAGAACAGAAAGAGGACAGAUGAGAUGUUAGGACAUCAGGACAGAAAGAGGACAGAUGUUCUGUUAGGACAUCAGGACAGAAAGAGGACAGAUGAGAUGUUAGGACAUCAGAACAGAAAGAGGACAGAUGUUCUGUUAGGACAUCAGGACAGAAAGAGGACAGAUUAGAUGUUAGGACAUCAGAACAGAAAGAGGACAGAUGUUCUGUUAGGACAUCAGGACAGAAAGAGGACAGAUGAGAUGUUAGGACAUCAGAACAGAAAGAGGACAGAUGUUCUGUUAGGACAUCAGAACAGAAAGAGGACAGAUGUUCUGUUAGGACAUCAGGACAGAAAGAGGACAGAUUAGAUGUUAGGACAUCAGAACAGAAAGAGGACAGAUGUUCUGUUAGGACAUCAGGACAGAAAGAGGACAGAUUAGAUGUUAGGACAUCAGAACAGAAAGAGGACAGAUGUUCUGUUAGGACAUCAGGACAGAAAGAGGACAGAUGUUCUGUUAGGACAUCAGGACAGAAAGAGGACAGAUGAGAUGUUAGGACAUCAGAACAGAAAGAGGACAGACGAGAUGUUAGGACAUCAGGACAGAAAGAGGACAGAUAGGAUGUUAGGACAUCAGGACAGAAAGAGGACAGAUUGGCUGUUUGACCUGUUCAGUUUUAGGAAUACGUCCUUGAUCCCAGACAGACAACAACAAAAAAACGUAAUAAAUCAAAGCAAAUACCAACGAUCCAAAAAUAUGUUCUCCCUCUUGUCUGCAUAUUCAGUAGAAUUUCACUUGUUCUGACGCGAGUCAGAAGAUUCGUGGAGCCGAGUCAACCGCUGUAUUAAGACUAGUCCACAGAAAGGUAUUCAGACAGCAUUUAAACAGCAUGCACUGUGGGUGCACUGCACCAGAUUCUCAACCUUCCUUCCUUUAGGGUUUGUUGAUGAGAACAGAUGAAUACCUAGCUUCCUCUGGAAAUAAAACAUGACAACAGGACAAUCACAAAACAAGGUAGGAAGGUAGGAAGGUGCUUGGACAAGUCCAGUGGGUAGUCUUGAUGAGGGGAGGGGAUCGAGGGGUAUGGACAGGAAACAGCACACGUCCUUGUUUGUUUUGCGACAGAAACGACGACAGGGCUGACGCCCAAAGGGGUUCGAGUAUAAAAACGGAGUGGUUUAAAAGAGAAAGUCUUUCCUUGGCUGAGGCGCAGAAAAAGGCAGAACGGAUCGGAGCAAGCUAGACAAUGUGUUGUAGUCAAUCUGUUCUAGUCUGUUCUGGCAGCAGGGUGGACCGAGGAGCCAGUGGAAAUAAUGCAUUACCACCUCUCCUCUCCUCUCCUCUUCCUCUUUCUCCUCCUCUCCAUCUCUCCCGUCCCUCUCCUCUCCUCUCCUCUCCUCUCCUUUCCUCUCCUCUCCUCUCCUCUCCCUCUUUCUCCUCCUCUCCAUCUCUCCCGUCCCUCUCUCUCUUCUCCGGUCCCUCUCUCCUCCUCUCCCUCUCUCCUCUCCUUUCCUCUCCCUCUCUCUCUUCUUCUCCCUCUCUCCUCUCCCGUCCCUCUCUCUCCUCUCCCGUCCCUCUCUCUCCUCUCCCGUCCCUAUCUCUCCUCUCCCUUCCCUAUCUCUCCUCUCCCUUCCCUAUCUCUCCUCUCCCUUCCCUAUCUCUCCUCUCCCGUCCCCAUCCCUCUCUCCUCUCCUCUCCCUCUCUCCUCUCUUGUCCCUAUCUCUCCUCUCCCUUCCCUAUCUCUCCUCUCCCUUCCCUAUCUCUCCUCUCCCUUCCCUAUCUCUCCUCUCCCGUCCCCAUCCCUCUCUCCUCUCCUCUCCUCUCC
rnacentral:lncRNA from 1 species